GGUGAACGCUGGCGGCGUGCCUAAUACAUGCAAGUCGAGCGAAUCGAUGGGAGCUUGCUCCCUGAGAUUAGCGGCGGACGGGUGAGUAACACGUGGGUAACCUGCCUGUAAGACUGGGAUAACUUCGGGAAACCGGAGCUAAUACCGGAUACUUUCUUUUCUCGCAUGAGGGAAGAUGGAAAGAUGGUUCUGCUAUCACUUACAGAUGGACCCGCGGCGCAUUAGCUAGUUGGUGAGGUAACGGCUCACCAAGGCGACGAUGCGUAGCCGACCUGGGAGGGUGAUCGGCCACACUGGGACUGAGACACGGCCCAGGCUCCUACGGGAGGCAGCAGUAGGGAAUCUUCCGCAAUGGACGAAAGUCUGACGGAGCAACGCCGCGUGAGCGAAGAAGGCCUUCGGGUCGUAAAGCUCUGUUGUUAGGGAAGAACAAGUAUCGGAGUAACUGCCGGUACCUUGACGGUACCUAACCAGAAAGCCACGGCUAACUACGUGCCAGCCGCCGCCGUAA
rnacentral:rRNA from 1 species